AGCCCGGCGCAGGGCGAGUCAUGUAUAUCCAGGCCUGCGCGGUGCCUCUGCCUGGGGCUGGGCUCUCAAGGCUGGAAACCUGCAGACUUGACAUCCUGAGUGGCGGCAUUUUUGGAACACAGGCCAUGCGAUUUUACUUCCGGACGACUUAGGGAGCGCUCCCAACCCGUGCAGGGGAUUUUCCCACUCAGGAGUAGGCACUCAGGGCUGAGGCUUUCCAGAAGCUCUUCCCGCCCCUCCACAUACAUGUUAACAAUCCAUUUCGCAUCUAUCCAUCUAAUACAUUAUAAAAUCAAAUUCAAAGUCAAAACAGUAUUUCAAACCCUCCCACCGCCCUGUCCUCACCAGGCUUGCAGCACUAAAACUCUUGACAGAGAAAUUCUUGAGCUACCCGUGCUUUUCCUGGACACUACGGACGGCUCAGACCAGAACAGACAUCUUGAGGGACAUGGGGACGUGUCCACGAUGCCGGGGGAUUGGACAGUUUCAGGUAGGCCACCCUGGCUUUCCCAAAGUCAAGGUUAUGACCUAGAUUUCCAAGCGAACGCGCACGGCCUUCUGCGCUGAAAUCGUCCUCUGUCUUUCUCAGAAGAGGGAAGGGAGGCACUCUGUAGUAUUGCCAAAUAGAAGGCCGGUGAAGUUCAGCCUUGCUUAUUUGCUAUUGCAUUCUGUACAGAGCAGCCCUGUCCUUUGCUUUGCUGAGAUGAUCUUGUUCAAAGGUGCUGCCAGGCCACCGGAAGUCUCUGCGGUGGUUUUGCUAAGACAGUCGCCAGAACCCGCUCAGUGAGGAAUAUGAGACUUUAAAGAGCCUGAAUUUUUUGGUGUGGGUCCUUUAUUUGCAGAAGAUACUAGGAGCAUUCUAUGGCUUUUUUCCCCAAGGGAGACUAAGUUUUUAAAACGCAAUGAGCUAGAAGUAUCAAAAGAUGCAAAUUGCAGAGCGAUUUCAAAGUCCAUCAGCUGUUUGGCGUUGACACAACUAAAAUUCUGUAAGAAGGGCAAAUGGGGCCAAAACACAAAAAGAAAUACAAUAUUGCCUUUAACAAUUGCAACUCUUUGUGAGGCAAAAUGUCAUAUGUCACCUCUGUGAAACUUUAGGAUAAAAGCAAAUACAGAUGAGUGAGGUUCACUGCAGCUCAUCUCUAGGAACAUGGGUUGUUGGAGAACCCGUAGCUGGGUCGGGUAACCAACAGGAAACUGGCCAGGAGCAAGCUUAUCAAUCAGAUCAGCCACUGUAACCUGCCAGAAGGGUUCUCUAAAAGAGUUUUUAAAACUUAAGGCAAAGGAAACUCAGCAAACAUAUUUAUUUGAAUUUUCAAGAAGUUUUGACUAAGAACUGCUCUAAAAAAGAAUAAGAAAACAAAUAAUCCUGGAGAAAUAAAAUGAGGGCAUCAAAAACCAGUGAAACACUAGAAGACAAUGAUAAACAGGGAACAUCUGUUCCCCAGAACAGAAAGAAGUUGGUCCAGACGUCGGUACAGCACUGGAUUGAAGUAUUAUUUAAUACAAAUGUUUUACAGCAUUAAUCUUUGGAAGGAGGGAAAAGUUUACAGAUGACCCUGGGCCUUCCUAAAUCCUACCGUCCUGUAUAGAAACACUAUGUUUCUAAACAUUUUUACUUCUUUCCCUGGCUUAAUUCCAGAGUUUGGAGAACUGGAACCAAGUGGCAUCUUCCAGCGUCUUAUAUCUGAAGUUUAUUUGGUGGAUGGGAUCACUGUAGAAUGACUUCCAGUGUAUUAUUUUUUCAAGUUUCAGUUAUUUAUUAAUCAGUGUAAUCUCCAAUAGGUUACAUCAACAUGAUUUCAUUCAUUUAGAGGAGAAAUAUUUCCUAGUGAAGUGGAAAAUUGUGCGGAUGAAUUCUGGAAGACCUUCGGUCUAAAGCAGCUUUGUAGUGAAACAUUUCAUUUAGAAGUCUGGACCUUCGUUCUUCAGUUUGCUGUGAUCCACAUUCAUUGAGUAGAACUUGUAUUGAUCAUCGGGACCCAGUUUGUUCCAGGGAUCUGGGUGAUUCUUUCUGUCCCAACUAACAUCCAGAUUGAACAAUGCCAGACGCAAGAGAUACAGUCCUGCUCCAGUACCUCCAGCUCCAAUAAAUACUAAGAGGGGGAUCAAGCUUGGAUGCUUCUUAGCCUGACCGAUGAUCUGGUGGAGCAUGUUAGCGGCAGAGACCUCUAAUUGGAAAGGAGAGAACCAGCCUAGCCACCAGGCCCUGGGCUAAGUAGUAUCUCACCAGUGUAUUUUAAAAGGCCUUUGGGAAUUUUGUAUUCUGCUUGGCCCAUUCCUACUACAGAUAUACUGCUGCUGCUGGUUUGGAGAGGAAGGACUUCUGGAGAACUGGAACUUGGUCAGUGGAUGAGGACAUACAACACUGUGAAUGAGCAAUUAUGGAGUCAGGGUGGUGUCUCGGGGACUUGGAGGAUGUCAGACAUCCCAUGUUGACUAAUUCGAGAUACCUAUUCUGUUCAAAGAGGGCCUUUCAGCUGGGCACGGUGGCUCACGCCUGUAAUCCCAGCACUUUGGGAGCCCGAGGCUGGCAGAUCACCUGAGGCCAGGAGAUGGAGACCAGCCUGGCCAACAUGAUGAAACUACUAAAAAUACAAAAAUUAGCCAGGCAUGGUGGCGCACACCUGCAGUCCCAGCUACUUGGGAGGCUCAGGCAGGAGAAUCGCUUGAAAAUGGGAGGCUGCAGUGAGCUGAGAUUGUCCCACUGCCCACCAGCCUGGGUGACAGAGCUAGACUCUGUCUCAA